rnacentral:rRNA from 1 species
CAAUAGCGUAUAUUUAAGUUGUUGCAGUUAAAAAGCUCGUAGUUGGAUUUCUGUUGAGGACGGCCGGUCCGCACUAUGUGCGUGUAUCUGGUUCGGCCUCGGCAUCCUCUCGAAAGCCGUAUCUGCGCUUGACUGCGUGGUUCGGACUUCGGGACUUUUACUUUGAGGAAAUUAGAGUGUUUAAAGCAGGCCUUCGCCUUGAAUACAUUAGCAUGGAAUAAUAAGAUAGGACUUUGGUCUAUUUUGUUGGUUUGCAGACCGAAGUAAUGAUUAAUAGGGAUAGUUGGGGGUAUUUAUAUUCCGAUGUCAGAGGUGAAAUUCUUAGAUUUUCGGAAGAUAAACUUAUGCGAAAGCAUUUACCAAGGAUGUUUUCAUUAA